rnacentral:rRNA from 1 species
GACAGAAGUUUGAAUCCUGGCUCAGAAUUGAACGCUGGCGGCAGGCCUAACACAUGCAAGUCGAGCGGAUGAGUGGAGCUUGCUCCAUGAUUCAGCGGCGGACGGUGAGUAAUGCCUAGGAAUCUGCCUAUUAGUGGGGGACAACGUUUCGAAAGGAACGCUAAUACCGCAUACGUCCUACGGGAGAAAGCAGGGGACCUUCGGGCCUUGCGCUAAUAGAUGAGCCUAGGUCGGAUUAGCUAGUUGGUGAGGUAAUGGCUCACCAAGGCGACGAUCCGUAACUGGUCUGAGAGGAUGAUCAGUCACACUGGAACUGAGACACGGUCCAGACUCCUACGGGAGGCAGCAGUGGGGAAUAUUGGACAAUGGGCGAAAGCCUGAUCCAGCCAUGCCGCGUGUGUGAAGAAGGUCUUCGGAUUGUAAAGCACUUUAAGUUGGGAGGAAGGGCAUUAACCUAAUACGUUAGUGUUUUGACGUUACCGACAGAAUAAGCACCGGCUAACUUCGUGCCAGCAGCCGCGGUAAUACGAAGGGUGCAAGCGUUAAUCGGAAUUACUGGGCGUAAAGCGCGCGUAGGUGGUUUGUUAAGUUGGAUGUGAAAGCCCCGGGCUCAACCUGGGAACUGCAUCCAAAACUGGCAAGCUAGAGUAUGGCAGAGGGUGGUGGAAUUUCCUGUGUAGCGGUGAAAUGCGUAGAUAUAGGAAGGAACACCAGUGGCGAAGGCGACCACCUGGGCUAAUACUGAC